rnacentral:rRNA from 1 species
CCUACGGGAGGCUGCAGUGGGGAAUAUUGGGCAAUGGGCGCAAGCCUGACCCAGCAACGUCGCGUGAAGGAAGAAGGCUUUCGGGUUGUAAACUUCUUUUCUGAGGGACGAAGAAAGUGACGGUACCUCAGGAAUAAGCAACUGCUAACGACGCGCCAGCAGCCGCGGUAAUACGUAGGUGGCAAGCGUUAUCCGGAUUUAUUGGGUGUAAAGGGAGUGUAGGCGGGAAAGCAAGUCAGAUGUGAAAACUCAGGGCUCAACCCUGAGCCUGCAUUGGACACUGUUUUUCUUGAGUGCUGGAGAGGCAAUCGGAAUUCCGUGUGUAGCGGUGAAAUGCGUAGAUAUACGGAGGAACACCAGUGGCGAAGGCGGAUUGCUGGACAGUAACUGACGCUGAGGCGCGAAAGCGUGGGGAGCAAACAGGAUUAGAUACCCCAGUAGUC